ensembl:lncRNA
GUGUGAUAAUUUCUUUGCUUUUAUUUUUAUUAAAAAAGAUUUUUGGUCACACCCACAGCAUGCAAAAGGUCCUGGGCCAGGGAUUGAGCAGAUCCAUAGCAGCAGUCCAAGCCAGAGCAGUGCCCAUGCCAAAUCCCUAACCCACUGUACUACCUGGGAACUCCUUUUUGCUUGUAUAAUAGAAUUUUUGGGGAGGUGAAUAUAUAAGAGAUAUUUAUAAUCAUGAUUAUCCAUAGAUAAAUUGAUUAUAUUUUAAUAUUCUUUUAUUCCAAAAUAUCAGAUGAAAAUUUUUUCAUGCUGCUUUUUUUUUUUUUUUCGCCAUGCCUGUGGCAUGUGAAAGUUCCCGGGCCAGGGAUCGAACCUGUGCCACAGCAGUGACAACACUGGACCCUUAACUUGACGCACCAUGAGGGAACUUCCACUCAUGCAUCUUUUUAUUAAGAUAAUUUUGAAUAUUUUUGUCUUUCCGUUCUUGUGGCAUUUAUUUCCCCAAAGAAAUUUCUCAUUUAUGCUCCCAAGCAACACACCUUUAUUGAUUAAAUAAGAUAAUUGCAAUUUUGUUUCAUUAAAUUUCCAGGGUUUCCUGUGUUAUAAAACUAUAAUAAACAUCUGAUGAAUAAAAAAACAUCACAAUCUAUAAAUAGUAAUAAAAAUCAAGAUGAUGAUUAAUAGAAUGAUCAGAGGCAAUGACAAUGAGAGGAAUGAACUAAUGAGCAAGACUAGCACAGAUCUUUAUGAAUGCAUUGGAGAAAGUUUAGAAGAGGACACUUGUAACUGGUCACAGUGCUUACCUCUUGGAGUCUGAUUUGGACUGGGAUGAUGAUCAAGUGGAAAUGUAGCAUUCUUUGUAAGGUUUGUAGUUUGAUGCAAAUGCAUAAAUGUGUCACUUGAAAAAUUAAAAAUUAAAAUAAUUUAAGAAGUUAUCUUUUUGGGGGCUUGCCCUUAAAGAGAGUAUCUAAGCUAUUGAGCCUGCUAUUUUUCUACUUACAUUUUUUUUUUAUUGAUGGAGAGCUUCAUUCCUAGUCAUUCCAGUGUGUUUUAAACUGGAGGCGUUGAAAAUAUUUUCCUUUUCUCUAAGCUAAAUUAAGAGAACAGAAACAUAUCAAAGCAUUUCUUUUAGUUCUGUUUUCUUUGUAAGGUGAAUAUAAGUGAAGAAUUCUGGGCAACAUAUCAUGUAACAACAGAGAAGUGCUGAAAAAUUUUAGAAGGUACUGAAAAUUUCUAAGACAUAAUAGCAGCAUUUGACUAUAAGGAUCCCUGAUAACAUGGAUUUAUUUAUGGAAGCAAGUACAGAGCGAGAGUAGGAACAAUACUAGGUUUUGUAUACCAGGCCUUUAGUUAUAAAAAUCAUAAUCUGAAAGACUAGGUUUGCAGGUGAAAAAUGCAAAACAGAUCAAGAGCUGUGCAGUGGGGUUUUCACUUUCAUCUACACAUGUAGCAGUUACUUUCAGUAGUGAUAUUUUUAAAGCAGAAGAGACAGCAACACAAUACAAUACUUAUGUAACUGGGAUGAACCAUUCCCUAGACUCUUCAGGCAAGGACAGUUCCCUAGCUUUUCCCUGGCUAGAUUAAAUCGGGACUGGCUCAAGCCUCC